GCAACGGGCAANCGGAAGGAAGCGUUGUACAGCUCAAAAGAACAGUUUCAACCGGCUUGGAGGAAAGGGGCGGACAUCCGAGGAAACCUUCGGCCAAGACGACGCACGUCGGGGGGCAUCCACGGAGAAGCAGGACGCCAGAGCAGCGCAGGGCGCGGCCAAACGGGAGACUGUCCUAUUAGCUAGAAGGUAAGGUCAGGGCUUACCUUGGCGACCAUGGGAUACGAGGAAUUGGGGUUUGGUUUCGGAGAGGGAGUGUGAGGUGCGGCUCCUAGAUCCAAGGAUCGCAGCAGGCGCGAAACUUGCUCACUUCCCGGGGGGAGAAGCAGUGAGGAGACAUGCGGGGAAAGAGCGGGCAGCAAAGGAGCGCGCGAGGAGCGAUUGGAGGGCAAGACUGGUGCCAGCAGCCGCGGUAAUACCAGCUUCAAAAGUGUCUGUGGUGUUUGUUGUGAUUAAAAGGUCCGCAGUCGGGGAGAGAGGCCGUGGGGAAAGCAGGCGGCUCAAAGGGAGAGGCAAGCACGGAAAGAACGCGUCAAGAGGGGCAGGCGGGGGCAGGAGAAUUCAGCAGCCAGAGGUGAAAUUCGCAGACUUGCUGGGGGCGGACAGAGGCGAAGGCGCCUGCCAAGGACGCUUUCAUUGAUCAGGGACGAAGGCCGGAGGAUCGAAGACGAUUAGAGACCGUUGUAGUUCCGGCGAUAAACGAUGCCAACUCGGGGGCGUGCGGCCGGGAGGGCGCGGGCGCCCGGAGAGAAAUCGAGUUCGAAGGCUUUAGGGAAAGUACAGUCGCAAGGCAGAAAUUUAAACGGAAAUUGGCGGAUUAAUACACCAGGAGUGGAGCAUGCGGCUUAAUUUGACUCAACACGGGGCAGCUUACCGCUGGAAGACGCUGGGGGGAUCGGGGCGAGAUUUGGCAGAGAAGUGGUGCAUGGCCGCUCUUGGUCCGUGGGGUGACCUGUCAGGUUGAAUCCGCUAACGGGCGCGACGCGCGUGCGCCAAAAGAAAGAGGGUGCAGACGGCCGGCGCGCAGCCGGAGGAGGGCGGGCGAUAGCAGGUCCGUGAUGCCCUUUGAAGCAGCGGGCUGCACGCGUGUUACAGUGUGCGCAGGAGGGGUGCGCCGAGAGGCGCUGCAGCAAACGCGGGCGGGGGAUGCCGGCGAGGGAGCGCGGGCUGAACACGGAAUUUCCAGUACCCGCGGGUCACCAGCCCGCGGAGACAGCGUCCCUGUUUUUUGUACACACCGCCCGUCGCUAUCUGAGAUGGGCGGCGCGGCAAGCGCGNACACGC
rnacentral:rRNA from 1 species